AUCAGCGUGCUUUUUAUUGGAGGUGCAAAUUAUACAUAAUAACAUACAGCAAUUUUCAGUUAGAACUUUCGCAUUUUGCAGAAGUCCUUGCAUUUUUUUCAACAAAUAUAAGGGGAAGAAAAAUUCUCUCUUUUGUUUCCUCCCUUUCCCUUUUUCUUACAGAAAACAACGUCCAGGUUUUCUUGGAGCCAAUUAAGUCCAUUUGAAAUAAAGUUCUUUUAUUUUGGAUCAAGAGUGUCCACAUGGGGAGUUAAUCAAGAAUAAUUAUUCCUCUCUAAAUUCACAUCCUCAAAUAAUUUGAAUUAAAUCCCCAGCAUAGGAAAGCCCUAAAUGUCAGAGGAGGUUAAAAAAUAGUAGAGUAGACUAGAGGAGCUCUAUCAUAACAGAAAGCGAUGACAGUAAAACCAUCCUCUAUGCAGCCAGCCCAAGCCAGCAAGCGGAGCCAGCCAGGAUGGAUCCAGGUACAAAUGAUCCCACUCUCACUGUUCAGCCAUUUAAAGUCAACUGCUGUAUGUGUCCAUGGCACAGUUGCUAUGUACACUCUGUAUAGUGAUGUAAUAGUGGCAUCAGGCAGGAGAUGCUGCAGUCAUCAGAAGGAGCGAGUUCAGGCACAUCUCAGGAAGGAAUGUUGCUCAGGGAUGGAUGCCUUUCUCAGUUGUUUUCCCAGCUGGCUGCAGACAAAACCAGUGACAGGAAAGCUGAGGCCUGAUGGCUGA
rnacentral:lncRNA from 1 species